AUAUAUUUUUGUGACAAGUAAUCUUCGUUGGUUCAUGAUUUUAAUUUAAAAUCAACAUAUAUGUAGCAUGUAAAAUCAUAAGCAUAGAACAACAAAGUAUAACAUUGAUGUUCUGGUUGGGUUUGAAUGAUACAUUUAUCUGCUUCUAUUGUAAACAAAUUUAAAUAGGUUUGUUAUCAAUUAUGAAUCAUAAAUGACACACAUUUUAUUUUACAGUAUCCUGUAAAAAGGUACGAUGAAAGCUACAGAGAGUUGAAAUGAAGUCAACUGCAAAUGAGAAAUAGAGCCGGUCAUAGGGGAGAGCACCACCGAGGCCAUUGAAUGCACUACCUGACAGUUACAAUGGCAGGACCGUUCUGCACGCAUCACUGCAGUAACUACCAGAUCCUCCAACAGUUACACGCAUCGCUACAGUACUCCAGAGGCUGUCGUGAAAUCCCAUCGUUGUACUGCAGUAUAUGCUGCCUGGACGAGAACAGCAUCGGGAAGAGAGGGUGGAAGAGAAAGAAUGAGGACAAGGGGCAGGAUCUUUCCCUCAAUUAUUGUUCAAUGAAUUGAUUCUUAUUUUAAAUCGUAUAUUGUUGUUUACAAUGUCAGUAUGAUAUAAAACAAAAAGCACAUUAAUCUUAACUAGUACAU